rnacentral:rRNA from 1 species
UACGGAGGGAGCUAGCGUUGUUCGGAAUUACUGGGCGUAAAGCGCACGUAGGCGGCUUUGUAAGUUAGAGGUGAAAGCCUGGUGCUCAACAUCAGAACUGCCUUUAGAACUGCAUCGCUUGAAUCCAGGAGAGGUGAGUGGAAUUCCGAGUGUAGAGGUGAAAUUCGUAGAUAUUCGGAAGAACACCAGUGGCGAAGGCGGCUCACUGGACUGGUAUUGACGCUGAGGUGCGAAAGCGUGGGGAGCAAACAGG